AAGCAUACACUGUUUACUUCCAUGUACCGUAGGACAGCAUUUCUCUGUAAAUGUUUUUGUACACUAUCAUAAUGUCUAAACUACAUCUGUUGAAUGUGUCUCUUACCGAGCAAUUAACAGCAGCAGCCUUUGAAAUAUUUAGGGCCGUGGUUAGAACGAUAUCGGAGUACGAGUAAGACAUCUCCCGAUCAAAGAAAGAUCGAACGUCUACAAAGGCUAACGUUACUAACGUUAAAUGUCAUCACACAGCCUGAUAGUGAUAUAAAGCAGAUCCCCAGCAGCUAGUAACUCACUGUCCCAGAAGCAGGAGUUCCCCCUGAGCAGCAGCACUGUGACCAGGAGUGGAUCCCAGGUCUGUGGCAGGAUGACCCAGAGCCCACACAGAUUAAAGAGGAACAGUAGUUUGGGAUUGGUCAUGAGGAAGAGCAGAUUCAGAGGCUGGAGUCUGAUACCAAAGAUUCAUAUUAACUUCUCCCUUUGUGAAAAGUGAUUGGGAUCAGGACCCACCCCAGCCUUCACGUAUUCACCAAACCCAAACGACGGAUAAUGACUUUCUACCCACUAAAACAACAGAAGAGAUCCAAACAGAACAUGGAGAGGGCUGUGGAGUUUCAGAACCAAACGGUGAAUUACAGCCCCUCUCUUCAGUAAAUGCAGACUGUUCUCCAGCUCAGAAUGAAAACAGUGAACGUGUCGAUAGUAGUACAUCAACUCUGAGAAAGCAGUCUGACAAAAGAUCGCUGGGGAGAAACUGUUUAACUGCCAUGUGUGCAGUAAAUGUUUCCCUACAGAGGAAUACUGUCAAAGACAUACAAAUACAUACAGGAGAUAAAUAUUUUCAUUACCAUGGUUGUGGCACGUGCUUUACCAGGAAGGGACACUUGGCAGAGCAUUUAAGAUAGUUACACCCAGAAGAGAAGCCAUUCCACUCCCAAGUUUGUAUCAAAUGUCCUCAUCUUUUGAAGGAUCAUAUGAAAUUACACACAGGGGAUACAUAUACACUCCCUCCAUAUGUAUUUGGACAGUAAAGCUAACAUUUUAAAAUUGGCUCCCACAUUUUGGAUUGGGAAUCAAAGGUUUUAUAUGAGGCUACGGUACGUAAUGUCACCUUUUAUUUGAGGGUAUUUUCAUACAGAUUGGUUUUACCGUUUAGAAUUAAAAGCAUUAUGCAUCUAGUGCCCCCAUUUGAAGAAGUCAUAAGUAUUUGGACAAAUUCACUUCGUGUUUGAAGUAGUAAAAAGUUCUGGUGCAUAUUCCGAGCACACAAACAUGUUUGUCGGAUGCAUUUCUUGGGUUGUUUUGCCAAAUAGGAAGUGAAUGGUUCAUUAUAACUGGAGUAAUUUUCUAAGUAGAUCAAAUGUUUCUGCACACUUCUAAAAUAAUCCUGAAUGAAUGAUGAAGAGGCUACAACAAAACAUGCUAACCUCUCACCAUUACCAUCUUCUCUUCCUACAAUAAAAGGGAUUCCAAAAUGACAAUACAUUAUUCACCAUUUAGUUCCUAUUGGGCAAAAUAUCAUCUGAAACACAACCAAAACUAAUUGCAAAUGCAUCCAACAAGUUUGUAGUCAUGUUUGAUGUAGUCAUUGAGUGCAAGGAAUAUGGGACAAAAUAACUUUUGACUAAUAGAAGUGAAAUAAUUAUUCAAAUUGGGGAACUUGAUACAUUUAAGUGCUUUCAUUUUUAAAAUCACAAAACAUGACAAUUCCCUCAAAUAUAAAAGGUGACAUUCUGUACUGUCGCCUCAUACGGAACAUUUGAUCCCAAAUACAAAAUGUUGGCGUAUGGAGCUGAUAUUAAAGUGUUAGUUUCAUUCUCCAAAUACAUGGAGGGAAGUGUACAUGCUCACUGUGUGACCGCAGCUUCAUAUCUCAGAGUAGACUAAACAUCCACCAGCUAGUUCACACAGGGGAGAAGUUUUUUAGCUGCAAUGUGUGCAGCAAAUCUUUCCCUAGGAAGGGAUAUUUACAUACAUAUGAUACACACAUGGUAAAACAAACUUUGUUGCUGUGUUUGGCAUGAAGGCUUCCAUCAAACAGAGCAUAUGAAGACCAGACUCAAGGGUGGACGUGCUCUGUGAGGGAAACAGGAGUCAGUCUGAAUAUCUGAAGGAACAGUUUAACAAUGCAGGACAUUCCCCUCAUGUCACUACUGUUAGUUGACUUAAUCUAAUGUAUUGAUUGAUGAAUGAGGGUAAUUGACAUGAUCUCCUAUUUUUGUGUCCAAGGAUAAUAUUUAUAUGAAAAAAAACAAUAAAUACAAUCUUAUUACAA